ensembl:lncRNA
CAGCUCUAUUCAAACGAACUCUAUAUUAUCUUGUCGCUUGCCUUGUCUAGAGAAGGAUAUCAAGUUCUGUGUGUCCCAUGAUAGCUCUUCCAUCAUCAGCAGAAAGGGAUUUAACAAGACAGGAAAUACCUCAUUGUAUCUGACUAGUAUGUACAUAUGCAAAGAAGGGGAGGAGAGAGUUUUGAAGAAGGCUGUUUUUCCUCUAGCUGUGUGAACACACUGCUGCCUCCUGUCCAAAAUGUUCUUGCCAUUUUGGAAAUUUCUGCAUUGCAAAUACUACACAGUGAACAGCAGAGCCUACCAUUUCCCAUGGUGUCUAGUCUGUUUAAAACCUUAUUUUUCCUACUUGGGGGAAGCACAGCUGUAUGAAUUACCCUGGAGUAUAACAAUAACUUAAGUGCACCAAUCUUCUGAGCUACUGAGCCGUAUUACAUUUGCUUGUCUAAACAAAAGGCUAUAAAGCAUAAAAAGCUAUUCAAGAAAUUUCUGCAUUUAAUUGCCAUCCUGAAAUCUUGUAACCACUGAGAACUGUACCAUCUCUUCAAAUAAAAAAAAAAAUCAAGCAAUUUUUUUCUGUGACUGUUGGUCAUAAAGAACAGGAUCCAAAAAGCGUAAACUUUUAUACAUGACUGUCUCUAAGAACAAGCAGUAGAAAACCUUAAGAACUUUCUUCAGAUUGACAUAAAACUUUGUUUUGUUGACAUAAGUAAGAUUGUAGAAAGUCAAACACUCUGGAAGUUUCAGAAAAAUGUGCUGAUCAGUGAACCUAUCAAGCAAGGAUUUACCUAAAUGCUAUUCUCUCAAGAUGAUAGUGGUAAAUGUCUCUCUCAUAGGGUGGCUUCUUUUUUUUUUUUUUUUUUUUUUUUUUUUUAAAGUUAUAUCACUCCAUAUAUAAUGAUAAUUAACUGUUAGAAAACUUCCUGUUCCCUCUAAAGUUUGGAUAAACAUUCAGACCUUAAGUUAACUGUUCAUAUUACAUUACCUCUUUUAGACAGGAACAUACAGGAAGACCUUGUGCAGCUUCUAGUUUUUUCUAUAAAACACACAUUUCUGUAUCUGCAUAAUAAAUUUGGAGUCACUUUAGAGCCAAUUUUCUCCUGUUUCUGAGAUAUAUGUGAACAUGUGUGAGGUGUAAGAAUUGCUGUGAGGUGUCCUAGGGUGCUCCCGAAGCUCUGGACCCCAUUUCACUUAGUCUUGGCCAUUGUGCAACCACUGAAAUUGUUUUAUGGAACUCUGCAGGGGAAUUGUAGAGACAGGGCUAUCGAAAUGAAUGAGCUAUUCACGUCUAAAUCAGAGCUUGCAUUAUUUGUGAACGUAUCUUUGUGGAUCAGAAAAUCUCUUAUUUUGUUAUUACUUUUUUUUUUUAAAUGAAAAUUUAAAUUCUUCUUAAAGAUUCUGGAGAUGAGAAAGAGUGAGGCAAGAUAAAAUCUGUGACAGAAAUGGAUAUAAGAUGUCAUAAGAUGUGGACUAAGUAAAAAGUGUGAUUUUUUGCAAAAGAUAAUCAACGUAUGACUUGUGAAAGUAUGAAGAGGAAAUAUUGGGAGAAAAUUUUCCUGUUAUUUUGCUGUGGAAUAAAAUGCAGGAUUCCUGCUAGAAAUCCACCCUUCUUCAAAAGUGUCUUCAUAUCUCUUGGGAGCUUUUCAUUUCAGUUACUCUUCUGUCUUUUCUAUGUGUCCUUGUCAUUAAUUUAUAAAAUAUGAGAAAAUCUCAACAUGUACGCUCACAACAAAGAUAAUUUAGUCUUCUUACCUGACAGUCUCCUGCCUGACAAGCUUUUCUGGAGUGGCUCACUCCUGAUUGCUGCUUUGGAUAUUUUUCUAAAAGUAAUUGGAUUCUGAAUAGGUCACAUACAUUCCCACAAUUGUAGAGCAAAUACACAGGUUACAGCU